UUGGUUAAGUUAGAAAGGGCGCACGGUGGAUGCCUUGGCACUAGGAGCCGAAGAAGGACGGGACUAACACCGAUAUGCUUUGGGGAGCUGUACGUAAGCGUUGAUCCAGAGAUUUCCGAAUGGGGGAACCCACUAUCUUUAGUCGGAUAGUAUCCUUACGUGAAUACAUAGCGUGAGGAAGGCAGACCCAGGGAACUGAAACAUCUAAGUACCUGGAGGAAGAGAAAGAAAAAUCGAUUUCCUGAGUAGCGGCGAGCGAAACGGAAAGAGCCCAAACCAAGAAGCUUGCUUCUUGGGGUUGUAGGACACUCUAUACGGAGUUACAAAAGAAAGUUAUAAAUGAAGCGGUCUGGAAAGGCCCGCCAAAGACGGUAACAGCCCGGUAGUUGAAAUGGCUUUCCCUCCAGAGUGGAUCCUGAGUACGGCGGAACACGUGAAAUUCCGUCGGAAUCCGGGAGGACCAUCUCCCAAGGCUAAAUACUCCCUAGUGACCGAUAGUGAACCAGUACCGUGAGGGAAAGGUGAAAAGCACCCCGGAAGGGGAGUGAAACAGUUCCUGAAACCGUGUGCCUACAAGUAGUUAGAGCCCGUUAAUGGGUGAUAGCGUGCCUUUUGUAGAAUGAACCGGCGAGUUACGAUUUGUUGCAAGGUUAAGCGGAAAAAGCGGAGCCGUAGCGAAAGCGAGUCUGAAUAGGGCGCAUAAGUAACAGGUCGUAGACCCGAAACCAGGUGAUCUACCCAUGUCCAGGAUGAAGGUAAGGUAAUACUUACUGGAGGUCCGAACCCACGCACGUUGAAAAGUGCGGGGAUGAGGUGUGGGUAGCGGAGAAAUUCCAAUCGAACUUGGAGAUAGCUGGUUCUCUCCGAAAUAGCUUUAGGGCUAGCCUCGAGGUAAAGAGUCAUGGAGGUAGAGCACUGUUUGGACUAGGGGCCCUUCUCGGGUUACCGAAUUCAGAUAAACUCCGAAUGCCAUGUACUUAUACUCGGGAGUCAGACUGCGAGUGAUAAGAUCCGUAGUCGAAAGGGAAACAGCCCAGACCACCAGUUAAGGUCCCCAAAUAUAUGUUAAGUGGAAAAGGAUGUGGGGUUGCUUAGACAACCAGGAUGUUGGCUUAGAAGCAGCCACCAUUGAAAGAGUGCGUAAUAGCUCACUGGUCGAGUGACCCCGCGCCGAAAAUGUACCGGGGCUAAACAUAUUACCGAAACUGUGGAUGAACCUCUUUAGAGGUUCGUGGUAGGAGAGCGUUCUAAGGGCGGUGAAGUCAGACCGGAAGGACUGGUGGAGCGCUUAGAAGUGAGAAUGCCGGUAUGAGUAGCGAAAGAAGGGUGAGAAUCCCUUCCACCGAAUAUCUAAGGUUUCCUGAGGAAGGCUCGUCCGCUCAGGGUUAGUCGGGACCUAAGCCGAGGCCGAUAGGCGUAGGCGAUGGACAACAGGUAGAGAUUCCUGUACCAGUGCUAAUUGUUUAACCGAUGGGGUGACA
rnacentral:rRNA from 1 species